rnacentral:rRNA from 1 species
GCGGACGGGUGAGUAACACGUGGGUAACCUACCUAUAAGACUGGGAUAACUUCGGGAAACCGGAGCUAAUACCGGAUAAUAUUUCGAACCGCAUGGUUCGAUAGUGAAAGAUGGUUUUGCUAUCACUUAUAGAUGGACCCGCGCCGUAUUAGCUAGUUGGUAAGGUAACGGCUUACCAAGGCGACGAUACGUAGCCGACCUGAGAGGGUGAUCGGCCACACUGGAACUGAGACACGGUCCAGACUCCUACGGGAGGCAGCAGCA